UACACACUUCUGUGAAACACAACGUAGGA
rnacentral:piRNA from 1 species